ensembl:rRNA 5S_rRNA 5S ribosomal RNA
UUCCUUGGCCACACCACCCUAAAUGCACCUGAUCUUGUCUGAUCUCAGAAGCUAAGCAGGAUUCAGCCUGAUUAGUACUUGGGAUGGGAGCCUGCCCAGGAAUAUCAGGUGCUGUAGGCU